AACGAACGCUGGUGGCGUGCUUAACACAUGCAAGUCGAACGAGAAAGUUUCCUUCGGGAAAUUAGUAAAGUGGCGCAAGGGUGAGUAUCACGUGAAUAAUCUGCCCUCGAGAUCGGGAUAACAUGGUGAAAACUAUGCUAAUACCGGAUAAGUACCACAUUUCAUAAGAAAUGCGGUAAAAAGGAGUCUCGAAAUCUUCACUUGAGGAUGAGUUCGCGCAACAUUUAGCUUGUUGGUGAGAUAAAAGCUCACCAAGGCUACGAUGUUUAGCCGGCCUGAGAGGGUGAACGGCCACACUGGAACUGAGACACGGUCCAGACUCCUACGGGAGGCAGCAGUGGGGAAUAUUGCGCAAAUGGGCGAAAAGCCUAGACGUCAGCAAACGCCGUGUGAGCGAUG
rnacentral:rRNA from 1 species